rnacentral:rRNA from 1 species
ACGGGUGAGUAAUGUAUGGGGAUCCGCCCGAUAGAGGGGGAUAACUACUGGAAACGGUGGCUAAUACCGCAUAAUGUCUACGGACCAAAGCAGGGGCUCUUCGGACCUUGCACUAUCGGAUGAACCCAUAUGGGAUUAGCUAGUAGGUGGGGUAAAGGCUCACCUAGGCGACGAUCUCUAGCUGGUCUGAGAGGAUGAUCAGCCACACUGGGACUGAGACACGGCCCAGACUCCUACGGGAGGCAGCAUG